rnacentral:rRNA from 1 species
CCAAUAGCGUAUAUUAAAGUUGUUGCAGUUGAAAAGCUCGUAGUUGAAUUUCGGGAUUGACACAUCGGUCGUGCCCUAAGGGGUAUGAACUGGUGUAGUCAAUUUCUCACCUUCUGGAGAACCGCGAUGCCCUUAAUUGGGUGUCGCGGGGAACCAGGACCUUUACUUUGAAAAAAUUAGAGUGUUUAAAGCAGGCAUUUUGCUUGAAUACAUUAGCAUGGAAUAAUAAAAUAGGACGGCAUGAUUUUAUUUUGUUGGUUUCUAGGAACAACGUAAUGAUUAAUAGGGAUAGUUGGGGGCAUUAGUAUUCAAUUGUCAGAGGUGAAAUUCUUGGAUUUAUUGAAGACUAACUACUGCGAAAGCAUUUGCCAAGGAUGUUUUCAUUAAUCAAGAACGAAAGUUAGGGGAUCGAAGACGAUCAGAUACCGCCGUAGUCUUAACCAUAAACUAUGCCGACUAGGAAUCAGACGAUGUUAAUUUUUUAAUGACUCGUUUGGCACCUUACG